rnacentral:rRNA from 1 species
CUACGUAGGGUGCGAGCGUUGUCCGGAAUUACUGGGCGUAAAGAGCUCGUAGGUGGUUUGUCGCGUCGUCUGUGAAAUUCCGGGGCUUAACUCCGGGCGUGCAGGCGAUACGGGCAUAACUUGAGUACUGUAGGGGAGACUGGAAUUCCUGGUGUAGCGGUGAAAUGCGCAGAUAUCAGGAGGAACACCGGUGGCGAAGGCGGGUCUCUGGGCAGUAACUGACGCUGAGGAGCGAAAGCAUGGGUAGCGAACAGGAUUAGAUACCCUGGUAGUCCAUGCUGUAAACGGUGGGCGCUAGGUGUAGGGGUCUUCCACGACUUCUGUGCCGUAGCUAACGCAUUAAGCGCCCCGCCUGGGGAGUACGGCCGCAAGGCUAAAACUCAAAGGAAUUGACGGGG